rnacentral:lncRNA from 1 species
CCCAAGUCUCUCUUCGCGGGCCCGUGGGCUCCUAGCCUCACCCAGGCAGGGACCUCCUCCCUCGGCUGCUGUUGGUUCAGGCUCCCUGCGCCUCCCUGAGACAGCCCUUUCUAAGACACUUUCCUCUGCUGUUCCAAAGACCUAGGGCCCCUUGUCCCCACUCACACACGUUGCCUGGACACCUGCUGCUGACAUUGAUUGGUGGAUCCGUGAGAGCAUUCUCUGUUCCCAGGAGUGGGGCACGCUCGUGCACGUGUGAGCACAUGGGAGAGCGUAAGGCUGUCGAAGAAGCGUAGCCAAGUGCCUCACGGAAGAGAGAAUCCGUGGCUUUCUCACCUCCGUGAAGGGUACAACUGGAGACCCUGUUCCUUGAUCUAGAAAGGUUGAGCUUACUGGACUGGAGGCAGUACAAGGACCAGAAUAUGCUGUGAGCUGACCAGCCACUGGGCGGGCUGUCUGGUUGACAAAUGACCUAACAAAUGGUUGACAAAAUGGAUGGAUGAAUGAAUCACAGACCCACUAAUCCACUGACCUGUUCAAUGCCUGACUGGAAAUUGAGUGUCCGUUCCUCCCAACACCCCAGGGCCCCUGUCUCCCUUUGGUAGGGGCACUCACGAUGGUGAGCAGAGAGGUCUGUAGGGGUAGCUGAGGCACAGAUCAUCUAGGUCAACCUGCGUAUUUUAGAUGGGGAAACUC